UGUGAAAUAACCACAUGUGCUGCAAGUCCAUGUGUACAACAUUCACAUCGUGUCUACAGUCCAGAACUUCACAACCUCCUCUCCUUUUGGAGCAGAUGGAUAGAACUAUCCAGAGGCUGAUGGUUGAGCUUCCUCAAGCAGAACAUUCAACCAUCCAGCCCCGUGAGUUCUCCAAGUGUGACAUUGCUACCUCUGGCUUGGAAACCCCAACUCUUAACUUGGAAACCCCAACCCUUAACUCCACUGGGAACAUUAGAGGACCUGACAUCCUUACCUUUGGCUGCAGUUGGUGUUUCUACAACUGAACUAUUAUUAUGAUCACUGGCUCAUGAAAGCAGCUCCACACGGCCACAGUCAAAGGACAGCGGAUAUCUAAAACUGCAUUGUUUAAUUAUACAGUGUCCUAGGCCAGAUUCUUAGAGAAAGAUAGAUAAAUAAAUAAAUAUUAUAAACAGCCAGAUUUGUAUUAAAAUGCAUUGUCCCUG